rnacentral:rRNA from 1 species
UACGUAGGGUGCAAGCGUUGUCCGGAAUUAUUGGGCGUAAAGAGCUCGUAGGCGGCUUGUCGCGUCGAUCGUGAAAACUUGGGGCUCAACCCCAAGCCUGCGGUCGAUACGGGCAGGCUAGAGUUCGGUAGGGGAGACUGGAAUUCCUGGUGUAGCGGUGAAAUGCGCAGAUAUCAGGAGGAACACCGGUGGCGAAGGCGGGUCUCUGGGCCGAUACUGACGCUGAGGAGCGAAAGCGUGGGGAGCGAACAGG